UCAAGAAACUCUGGUUUGGGGCCAGCUCCGUGGCCGAGUGAUUAAGUUCGCGCGCUCCUCUGCAGUGGCCCAGGGUUCGGAUCCUGGGUGCAGACAUGGCACCGCUCGUCAGGCCAUGUUGAGGUGGCGUCCCACAUCCCACAACUAGAAGAACCUACAACUAAGAUAUACAACUGUGUAUGGGGGUGGGGUUUUGGGCAGAUAAAGCAGAAAAAAAAAGAUUGGCAACAGUUGUUAGCCCAGGUGCCAAUCCUUAAAAAAAAAAGGAAGAUUGGCAACAGUUGUUAGCCCAGGUGCCAAUCUUUAAAAAAAAAAAAAAGAAACUGGUUAAAUGAAUGAAUGAAUGAAUCAACCAUGCAGAGGGUAAAGGCCAACAGGCAGCUUCUGAUGAUGUUGGAUACUCUGCUCAUUUCCCCACCAGUGUAAAACCUUGAAUUAAUGGAGGAGGUGGUUGGGGUGGGGGCAGGAUUAGCUUGUAAAUAGGAUGCAAUAAAUACAGGGGAGGUAUAAUAGCCUGUAUUUAUUGGGCAUCAACUAUAUGCCAAGGAUUCUUCAUGUUUAUCUCUACUCCUUAUGAAUACCCUGCAAGGUAGGUGUCUUUAUCCCCAUUUUACAGAAGAAUGAGUUGCCCAGUGAUGGCUUUAUGCUACCAUCAGUUGAAGAUCCAAGAUGGAAACCUAAAGUCCACAUUUUUCCUGCUAUGCCAAGCUACCCUUAAACAGGUAGUGUAUUCUCUCUGAGCAGGCCUGUGUUGCCUGAGUUUUAAUCCAAGACGUUGCAAUAAUCUCUCAUCUUCAGGUGGACUCCUGACUUGGCUGAUGCUCCUUUUGGUUUAGCUUUGUUGUUAAAUUAGUCUGUUCCUGCACAGUACCACUUAUAUAAGGAUUUCACAGCACAUUACGAUCAAGUGCCUUGAACAUACAGUGGCAAUGAAGUUGUUUCUCCCAGUUGAAGAUGAAAAGACUGCAGCAGAAGGAAGUUAUGUGACUCGUUAGAGAAUGUAAAGGAGUGAGUCAUUGAUGGAGCGUGUAUGGAAAUGAGGCGUUUAGGAGACUGUUAGGGGAACUGAUAUGGAUCCGGGACAUACAAUAGUAGGCAUCUAUUGCUGUAGUUGUGAAAUUGUUUAAUGCUUUUUGCUUCUUCAACUUCAAUGCUUAUAACUGUAUGUCCCAGAAUGCAACAAAGCAAUGCCAAGAGACUGUAGACCACAUGGAACACAGAUGUCAAUCACAGGUCAUUCUGCCUACUAGAGAUGAGUUUGUCUUUUUGUGAGGCUACUGGAUCCUAUUUGUGACCCAUGUUUCUACUAACACUUUUGCGGACCCUCUAUUUACAAGAGUCUCUACAUGGUCAAGGGUGUGAGGAGGAGCGAGCAGUCAGAAAGGUGCAGAGGUCCUUCCUGGACCUUUCCUUUUACGUUUAUUAGAUGAUAUCUUUCAUUUGCCACAUCCUUCCAGCAGAUGGGUGGAUUACAUCCUCCAGGUGAAAGAUGAGAGCAGAAGAGCUAAUUUGGCUGACUGCUACUUCCUAUGGGACCUCAGGUCCUUGUAAGGGGCCCAGCUGCCCCAGUGGUCUAUGGUCUCUGGAAAAUGGAAAUAGAAAAACAUCCUGCCCCUACUUUUAACAAACUGUGGAGUUCCUGGCUUAUUUUCUAAAUCAACAUGUUGGUGAAUGUACUGAUGGAGCUUGGGAGGUGGUGUAGUUUUGAGUGAUGAAGUGUGGAAGUGUUUUGAGCCAUGGUCACCUGUUAGGCUAGAAUUCCCCAUGGAGGCCCUCCUCUUUGUGACUUGUAUACCUUUAUUCUUCCCCCUCCAAACCCCAAAUAGACACAGUAAUAGAGAAACACCACUAGGCAGACUAAUAUCUGAUAAGUGCUACCCUUAUUAUCCCAAAUGACUUGAGAAAAGAAAUUGAAGACAUAGUGACUUUUCCAUGAAUAUACUAAGAAGGAUGAGGGAAGAGGCAGAGUUUGGUCCUUUUCUGGUCAUAGGGAAGGAGAGAGAUGGUAUGUCUGAAAUAAUCCAUUUUGCUUUUUCCAUUUACUGCCUUAAAAAAUAAAAGUAAAAUAUGAACCCACAGAUGAGGAAGAGCUCGAGAAAAAUAAAUGAAAUGCUGAGGAAUUGGCAUACCCCUCCCGAAGAAGGUGAAUUGCACAAAGGAUCACUCAAUCCUUCCAACCGAGGAGAGAAACUGUGAUUGGAAAGCUCCCUUCCCAAAGAGAUAAAAGAGAAGACAGACACACAGAGCGAGAAGGUGUUGUGAAGAACGGGGCAGAGAUUGGAGCGAUGCAGCCACAGGGCAAGGAAUGCCUGAAGCCACCAGCAGCUGGAAGAAGGAUUCUCUCCUAGAGAUUUCAGAGGGAGCAUGCUCUGCAAACACUUUGAUUUUGGACUUCUGGCCUCCAGAACUGUGCUGCAUUUGGAGAACGUGUUCAGGAGAAGCAACCAG
rnacentral:lncRNA from 1 species